UACGUAGGGUGCAAGCGUUGUCCGGAUUUAUUGGGUUUAAAGGGUGCGUAGGCGGGUCAAUAAGUUAGUGUUCAAAUAUGCCUGCUUAACAGGUAGUCGGGCAUUGAUACUGUUGAUCUUGAGUAAGUUUGGGGCUGGCGGAAUUUGUGGUGUAGCGGUGAAAUGCAUAGAUACCACAAGGAACACCGAUCGCGAAGGCAGCCAGCCAAGCCUUAACUGACGCUGAGGCACGAAAGCGUGGGUAGCAAACAGG
rnacentral:rRNA from 1 species